rnacentral:rRNA from 1 species
GAUGAACGCUGGCGGCGUGCUUAACACAUGUAAGUCGAACGAUGAAGCCCAGCUUGCUGGGUGGAUUAGUGGCGAACGGGUGAGUAACACGUGAGUAACCUGCCCUUAACUCUGGGAUAAGCCUGGGAAACUGGGUCUAAUACCGGAUAGGAGCGUCCACCGCAUGGUGGGUGUUGGAAAGAUUUAUCGGUUUUGGAUGGACUCGCGGCCUAUCAGCUUGUUGGUGAGGUAAUGGCUCACCAAGGCGACGACGGGUAGCCGGCCUGAGAGGGUGACCGGCCACACUGGGACUGAGACACGGCCCAGACUCCUACGGGAGGCAGCAGUGGGGAAUAUUGCACAAUGGGCGCAAGCCUGAUGCAGCGACGCCGCGUGAGGGAUGACGGCCUUCGGGUUGUAAACCUCUUUCAGUAGGGAAGAAGCGAAAGUGACGGUACCUGCAGAAGAAGCACCGGCUAACUACGUG